UACGUAGGGAGCAAGCGUUGUCCGGAAUCAUUGGGCGUAAAGCGCACGUAGGCGGCUUUGCAAGUUAGAGGUGAAAGCCCGGGGCUCAACUCCGGAAUUGCCUUUAAAACUGCAUCGCUAGAAUUGUGGAGAGGUAAGUGGAAUUCCGAGUGUAGAGGUGAAAUUCGUAGAUAUCGGGAGGAACACCUGUGGCGAAAGCGGCUCACUGGACCACAACUGACGCUGAGGCGCGAAAGCUAGGGGAGCAAACAGG
rnacentral:rRNA from 1 species